GCCACACUAGCAAAACGGUUAAUGCACUUGUCCUGUAAACAAGAGAUUCUUGGUUCAAAUCCAAGGUGCGGCACCA
rnacentral:tRNA from 1 species